UUCUGUUUUUGCAGUCGGUGUUUGGCGUUUUGUAGUUUUUUUUCACAAUGGCUGAGGAAUAUAAUUUAAAAUCACUCGCCCUCCCUUAAAUAUACAUACAAUUUGUAAUGGAAAUACAUAUUUUAGAAAUAUGCGGUAUUAAUAAAUAAAUAAUAAAUAAACUUGUAAAAAUUA